rnacentral:rRNA from 1 species
UUAUGGCUCAGGAUGAACGCUAGCUACAGGCUUAACACAUGCAAGUCGAGGGGCAGCAUUGGGAUAGCUUGCUAUCCAGAUGGCGACCGGCGCACGGGUGAGUAACGCGUAUCCAACCUUCCCUACAGUAGGGGAUAGCCCGGCGAAAGUCGGGUUAAGCCCUAUGUUCUCUUUGAUGACAUCUGACGAGAAGCAAAGGUUUACCGCUAUAGGAUGGGGAUGCGUCUGAUUAGCUUGUCGGCGGGGUAACGGCCCACCGAGGCAACGAUCAGUAGGGGUUCUGAGAGGAAGGUCCCCCACAUUGGUACUGAGACACGGACCAAACUCCUACGGGAGGCAGCAGUGAGGAAUAUUGGUCAAUGGGCGAGAGCCUGAACCAGCCAAGUAGCGUGCAGGAAUGACUGCCCUAUGGGUUGUAAACUGCUUUUAUGCGGGAAUAAAGUCAGGUACGCGUACCUGUUUGUAUGUACCGCAUGAAUAAGGACCGGCUAAUUCCGUGCCAGCAGCUGC